rnacentral:rRNA from 1 species
GAUGAACGCUAGCGGCAGGCCUAAUACAUGCAAGUCGAACGGUGUCUUCGGACAUAGUGGCGCACGGGUGCGUAACACGUAUGCAACCUACCUUACAUUGGGGGAUAGCCUUUCGAAAGGGAGAUUAAUACCGCAUAAGACAGUAGCUGGGCAUCCAGCAGCUGUUAAAGAUUUAUCGAUGUAAGCUGGGCAUGCGUCCAAUUAGCUAGUUGGUGAGGUAACGGCUCACCAAGGCAAUGAUUGGUAGGGGAACUGAGAGGUCAAUCCCCCACACUGGCACUGAGAUACGGGCCAGACUCCGACGGAAGGCAGCAGUAGGGAAUAUUGGGCAAUGGACGAAAGUCUGACCCAGCCAUGCCGCGUGCAGGAUGAAGGCGUUAUGCGUUGUAAACUGCUUUUAUACAGGAAGAAACGACUCUUGCGAGAGGCAUUGACGGUACUGUAUGAAUAAGCACCGGCUAACUCCGUGCCAGCCGCCGCGGUAAUAC